rnacentral:rRNA from 1 species
UACGUAGGGUGCAAGCGUUAAUCGGAAUUACUGGGCGUAAAGCGUGCGCAGGCGGCUUUGCAAGACAGAUGUGAAAUCCCCGGGCUUAACCUGGGAACUGCAUUUGUGACUGCAUGGCUGGAGUGCGGCAGAGGGGGAUGGAAUUCCGCGUGUAGCAGUGAAAUGCGUAGAGAUCUGGAAGAACACCAAAGGCGAAGGCAGCAUCCUGGGAAGCGCCUGACGCUCAUGUGCGAAAGCUAGGGGAGCGAACGGG